GAUGAAGAACGUAGCGAAAUGCGAUAAGUAGUGUGAAUUGCAGAAUUCAGUGAAUCAUCGAAUUUUUGAACGCACAUUGCGCCCCAUGGUAUUCCGUGGGGCAUGCCUGUUCGAGCGUCAUUUACCCCCUCAAGCACCGCUUGGUGUUGGGCGUCUGUCCCGCUUCGCGCGCGGACUCGCCCCAAAGGUAUUGGCAGCGGUCGUGCCAGCUUCUCGCGCAGCACAUUGCGCUUCUCGAGGCACCGGUGGGCCCGCGUCCAUCAAGCUCACCCCCCCAGUUUGACCUCGGAUCAGGUAGGGAUACCCGCUGAACUUAAGCAUAUCAAUAAGCGGAGGA
rnacentral:misc_RNA from 1 species